rnacentral:rRNA from 1 species
UACGGGGGGAGCAAGCGUUGUUCGGAUUUACUGGGCGUAAAGGGCGCGUAGGCGGCCAGCACAAGUCAGUUGUGAAAUCUCCGAGCUUAACUCGGAAAGGUCAACUGAUACUGUGCGGCUAGAGUGCGGAAGGGGCAACUGGAAUUCUCGGUGUAGCGGUGAAAUGCGUAGAUAUCGAGAGGAACACCUGCGGCGAAGGCGGGUUGCUGGGCUGACACUGACGCUGAUGCGCGAAAGCCAGGGGAGCGAACGGG